rnacentral:rRNA from 1 species
UACGUAGGGUGCAAGCGUUAAUCGGAAUUACUGGGCGUAAAGCGUGCGCAGGCGGUUCUAUAAGACAGAUGUGAAAUCCCCGGGCUCAACCUGGGAACUGCAUUUGUGACUGUAGAGCUGUAGUGCGGCAGAGGGGGAUGGAAUUCCGCGUGUAGCAGUGAAAUGCGUAGAUAUGCGGAGGAACACCGAUGGCGAAGGCAAUCCCCUGGGCCUGCACUGACGCUCAUGCACGAAAGCGUGGGGAGCAAACAGG